rnacentral:rRNA from 1 species
AGUGAACGCUGGCGGUAGGCCUAACACAUGCAAGUCGAACGGCAGCACAGUAAGAGCUUGCUCUUACGGGUGGCGAGUGGCGGACGGGUGAGGAAUACAUCGGAAUCUACUUUUUCGUGGGGGAUAACGUAGGGAAACUUACGCUAAUACCGCAUACGACCUACGGGUGAAAGCAGGGGAUCUUCGGACCUUGCGCGAUUGAAUGAGCCGAUGUCGGAUUAGCUAGUUGGCGGGGUAAAGGCCCACCAAGGCGACGAUCCGUAGCUGGUCUGAGAGGAUGAAUCGGCAAACCGGAACUGAGACACGGUCCAGACUCCUACGGGAGGCAGCAGUUGGGAAUUUUGGGCAAUGGGCGCAAGCCUGAUCCAGCCAUACCGCGUGGGUGAAGAAGGCCUUCGGGUUGUAAAGCCCUUUUGUUGGGAAAGAAAAGCAGCAGGUUAAUCCCCCGCUGUUCUGACGGUACCCAAAGAAUAAGCACCGGCUAACUUCGUG